GUUGAGGUCUAUCCCGAUGGGACUUUUUCUGAAGACUUACAUUGCCAGGAACACCUUGUAGAGUAUUUGCGUGGUUUCCUUUACUCACAGGACGAUGUGUUAGGCCCAAGGGAAAGAACUCUAGGACACGG